ensembl:lncRNA novel transcript
AAACUGCAGUUGUAAUCCAGGAUUCACGGGCCUGUAGGGGCUCAGACUUCAAAUUGAACCGCGCCUCGGCGGCAGCCACAGGUGUAAUACACGAGGCCCAGGUACCAGAAGGUGUCCAGCAGGGCCUUGGCGGCGCCCUAGCAGCUGAGGUCCAGCCGCUGCGCGCCCAGGUUCAUCUCAUUAGUGGACGCCGCGGGCCCGCGAGUUCGGAGCAGCGCGUGUAUCUGUGGGUCUUUGGGGCUGGCCUCGCUAGCCUACCAGCUUCCUUUCGGUGAUGCUCUUUGCUACCGCCAGGCUCCUGACCCCAGCUUGGACAGCAGGCCGCCGAGCGCCCCUGACGCCCGUUACCGAGAUGGCUGCGCAGAAGGAGUGGCUGUGGGGCUGUGAUCUCUCCUAGAACCUCAGAGGCAUGAAGCUAGAAUAUCUUCCCCUUCAAGGAGAAUAAGCCAAGAACACAAGAAGAUCAGAGGCUGUAAGGAGCUGCUAUAAGGCCUUCUCCCAGUCACUUCCCUCUCUCUCCUGAGAGGCUGUCUUGAAUGAAUUUCUCAUCACUUACCAGAUUCUGAUGAGGGUAUAUGAGACAAGGACCUGGGGAGUUGGCCUCUUUGGUUCAUUCUUUGUACUGUUUAUCUAUGGUUGUUGCGGCCUUUGUUGAUGACAUUCAGCAUUGACUUCUUGGGUAAGGUAUUCAGUAGUUAAGAUUCAAUGACUCCAGUGAAAGGUAUGUUUCCAUCGUGAUGUUCUUCUUCUGGACAAUAAGUGAAAAGAGCAUGAUGCAUACAGAACUGCUACUUUUGUGAUGUUGCAAGUAAUGGUAUAGAUGUGCACAAAUCAUGGAUGUGGUCCCAGUGAUCCAUGGAAAUGUGAAGUCCAGGAAGGUAUGUGGCCCUUCCUGAGGUGUGUUCUAAGUUGGUCUCCUAGGGUCCUGAAGGGGACUCCUGGAUGGUCUGUGGAAGGUGUUCUACCUAGAGGCAGCCUCUUAUGGGGGUGGCUCCUGCCCACCUCUGCUGCUUAUGCUGCAGUUACUGGUGUUGCUUGGAAGCUGCCUCCAGGACGUCCUUCACCUUUCUGUUCUCCUCAAACCACUUUCUGGAGGGCCAGCCAGAAGGAUUUUGGAAUCAUCAUUCCAUCCCUCAACUCCUCCCUUCAGCUUCCCUUCAUUGUGCUGUGGAAGAAGAGCUCUUCGCUGAAUGCAGAGUGGAUGUUUCCAUAGAACAGCUGGCUCAUUUGACUCCGCAAGUCCUCCUACUUUACCUGUCGGUUUAUCAUCAGCUUCUCUUUGGAAGCUCAUACGUGAAAGGAACUCAUCUCCAGAUGAGACUUUGGACGUGGAACUUGGGACUUGGGACUUUUGAAGUAAUGCUGGAAUGGGUUAAGUCUUUGGGGGACUAUUAUGAAGGCAUGAUUGUAUUUUGCAAUGUGAGAAAGACUUAAAAUUUGGGGGUCUAGGAAUGUAAUAAUAUGGUUUGGUUGUUUGUCCCCUUCAAAUCUCAUGUUGAAAUAUCAUCCCGUGUUGGAGGUGGGGCCUGGUGGAAGGUGUUUGGAUCAUGGGGAUAGAUCCCUCAUGAAUGGUUUAGUGCCAUCCCCUUGGUGAUGAGUGAGUUCUCAUUAUUGCAGUUCGUGUGACAUCUGGUUGUUUAAAAGAGUGUGGCGCCUCCCCCAGCCCCCACUCCUGCUCUCACCCUGGGCCAUGCCUACUCCUUCAUUUUCUACUAUGAUUGGAAGCUUCCUAAGGUCCUCACAAGCAGCAGAUACUGCCACCACACUUCCUGUACAGCCUGCAGAACCAUCAGCCCAAAUAAACCAUUUUCUUUAUAAAUUACCCAGUCUCAGGUAUUCCUUUAGAGCAACACAAAACAGACUAACACAAUUGUGAUAAUCAUUUCACAAUAUAUACAUAUAUCGAAUCAUCACAUUACAUACCUUAAAUAUAUAUAAUUUUGUCAAUUAUACCUCAAUACAGCUGAAAAAAAUCUAACAAUUUGCAGAUGCUUUUCUAUUUUUUAUGUACACAAUCGUAUCAUUUGCAAAUACUGAUGUUAGUUUUGUCUUUUCAACACUUUCCCCUUGUAUUUAUUUUUAAUGUAUUAUUUCUUUUCCUUGGAUCUCCAAUACAAUGCUAAAUAUGAACAAUGACAGAAUCCUUGUGUUGUUCCUGACCUCAAGAGGAAAUAUUUAAAUAUUUAUCCAAAAGUGUUAUGUGUGUUGUAU